UUUGGUGGCGAUAGCGAAGAGGUCACACCCGUUCCCAUACCGAACACGGAAGUUAAGCUCUUCAGCGCCGAUGGUAGUCGGGGGUUUCCCCCUGUGAGAGUAGGACGCCGCCGAGC
rnacentral:rRNA from 1 species